ensembl:lncRNA uncharacterized LOC114848649
GCUCAUAAGGAGGCAUCUUGGCUCCUGCAGCCUUUUCCCCUGUGGCGCUGAGCUCUUUGGCUGGCUCACCACUUCCUUAGCAGAGGGGCUGCUGGCAGGGGCAACAUCUGAGCAGGUCAUGAAGCCCCAAGAGACCGAGCUCGUCACUGAAAUCUCCAAGUUACAAUGCAUGGUCUCGGAGCUGAAGACGGGUUUUACCAGCGCCCUCCUGGAGCUCAGUCAGAUCCAACAUGGAGACACGUUCCUGCGGGAGGAGCUGGAGGAGAACAGGAGGAGCUGCCAGAAGAAGGCCCUGCGCCUGGAGGCCCUGGUGGAGUCGCUGCGGGAGGAGCUCGCGGUGAUGCGGUGUCAGGUCUUGCAGCUGUACAGUAACAAGCAGAGGCCUCAGCCUGAGGUCAAGGCCUCCACGUCCAAACAGAGAGACAGCGGUCCGGCAGAGGCGGCCGGUGGACGGCGUCAGUGCCAGUGCUCCUCGGCGUCCAGGGGAAAACUGCUCCUCCACUGCUUCCUCCAGGGGCUCAAAGCAGGACUGAGCGAAGGCACAGACGCGCGUCAUCAGGCGGCGAUGCAACUGCUGCAUUCGGAAUGGGAGUACGUCGCCGCUCUGAACCAGCUGUUGGACAAGUACAAGACGCCCCCGGCUCAUCGGACGAGCGUGGAGCCGUAUCAGACGUACCUGAACUUCGUGGAGCAGCUGCUGCAGCGGCACCUUCUCUUCAGGAACACCUUGCAGGAGCGAUUAUCGGCCGAGCACUGGAAGUCCCUGGUUGGAGACAUCCUGGUGCAGCUCAUCGGCCAGAACGAUACGACAUUUUCAGACAUGUACCUUGGCUACACCACGACUCUGGCGUCCUUCCUGUCGCCGGAGUUCAACAGACUGAAUCCUCCCGAUAAACACCUCAGUGUGCAGGUGCAGCGGGAGGAAAUGAAGCUGCUCUCCCUGCUCCUGGCGCCGGUCUCUCGCAUACACAGCUACCUGAGCCACAUUCAGAACCUGCUGCAGUGGACCGGCAAGGAGCACCCGGACUGCAGCCUCCUUCUGGGCACCGAGCGAGCUCUGAGGAGCAUCUUGUCUCGCUGUCACGUGAUUCUGGAGGAAGACGUCCGUUGGGAGGAGGACGACGGCGAAAGCUGCUCUGAUGCUGUGGCUUGUGGCUCCUCAGCCAACGGAUGCCCCAGGAGGUCCCAGCCCUGCAGGGAGGAGCCCGUCUCUGCCGCUCAUAGACACGAGCAGCAGGCCACUGCCCUCUGCAACGGGCUGGACGGCCUCAGCGCCAUGCGCCUGGAGUGCUGGUCCUGCAGCCCGGUGAGGAGGAGCAAGGGCGGCGGGGACCGGCCGGCCCCCGACCCCUCCGCCCGGGGCUGCGGGCACGCCUACUGCGCCCUCCUGGCCCCAGACCCCGCAGGGUGGGGGGAGACCAGCGACUCGGGCCAGGGCACCUUCAGCCAGCCCACGGGGAAAGGCACCAGCGGCACGGAGGCGCCCGGCGGGACCCGCAGCCCGGAGGACGCCGACACGGAGCCCGACGACACCUCCGCCUUCGACUACUCCUCCGUCACCUCCGGCAGCCCCGACGGCACGCUGCGCAGGGGCCCCGACAGCAACAGCGGGGAGGACGAGGAGGACAGCCAGGUGCCGGUGCUGCUCAAGCCCUCGUACAGCCAGCAGCAGCAGCGCAGGGACGCGGCGCGAGAGCGGCCCGCGUGCCUGCGGUGGCAGAUUCCCAGGUCGACCCCACACCCCCCCGUGAGGAACGUGUGCGUGAACGAGCCCGCGCCGUGUCCGGUCGGCUCCUUUGGGAAGAGGCUGGUCAGCGUCAGGACGGGCUCGCCUCCUCUGCAUGCAAAGAGUGCCUUCAGGCCCAUCUGGGAUGACCCGUCCAGACAGGCCGACGCCGCCCCAGAGAAGGAGAGCAGGCAAGGCUUCAUCCCCAUUCAGGCUCCAGCCAGGCAGAGCUUCCAGAGCUUCAACCCGAGCAGAGAGAACCUGAGGUCCUGCCUGAGUCAGCAGAGAGGCAACCACGCGGCGGCGGCGGCGGCCGGCAGCGCAGGAUUGUGGGACGACAGCGAGGACAGCGAGGGGCCCUGCAGCACCGUUUGA